rnacentral:rRNA from 1 species
GACAGAGGGUGCGAACGUUGUUCGGAUUUACUGGGCGUAAAGAGCGCGCAGGCGGUCGUACAAGUCGCGUGUGAAAGCCCCCGGCUCAACUGGGGAGGGUCACGCGAUACUGUUCGACUCGAAGGCAGGAGAGGGAAGCGGAAUUCCCGGUGUAGUGGUGAAAUGCGUAGAUAUCGGGAGGAACACCAGUGGCGAAGGCGGCUUCCUGGCCUGUUCUUGACGCUGAGGCGCGAAAGCUAGGGUAGCAAACGGG